GGCGCUAUAGCCAAGUGGUUACGGCGACAGAUUAGAAUGGUUGCCAUGUACACUGCUUCGCAAUCUGUUCCUCUUUGAGGGCGCAGGUUCAAAUCCUGCUGGCGUCG